rnacentral:rRNA from 1 species
CCUACGGGGGGCAGCAGUGAGGAAUAUUGGUCAAUGGACGGAAGUCUGAACCAGCCAUGCCGCGUGCAGGAAGACGGCUCUAUGAGUUGUAAACUGCUUUUGUACAAGGGUAAACCUGAAUACGUGUAUUCAGCUGAAAGUACUGUACGAAUAAGGAUCGGCUAACUCCGUGCCAGCAGCCGCGGUAAUACGGAGGAUCCAAGCGUUAUCCGGAUUUAUUGGGUUUAAAGGGUGCGUAGGCGGAUGGAUAAGUUAGAGGUGAAAUGUCCGAGCUUAACUUCGGAACUGCCUCUAAUACUAUUGGUCUAGAGAGUAGAUGCGGUAGGCGGAAUGUAUGGUGUAGCGGUGAAAUGCUUAGAGAUCAUACAGAACACCGAUUGCGAAGGCAGCUUACCAAUCUAUAUCUGACGUUGAGGCACGAAAGCGUGGGGAGCAAACAGGAUUAGAUACCCUUGUAGUC